rnacentral:misc_RNA from 1 species
GAUGAAGAACGUAGCGAAAUGCGAUAAGUAAUGUGAAUUGCAGAAUUCAGUGAAUCAUCGAAUCUUUGAACGCACCUUGCACCCUUUGGCAUUCCGAAGGGUAUGCUCGUUUGAGUGUCAUUGUACUGUCACUCUCCCGAUGCUUUUGGAUCGGGAGUGGUGGACUUGGGUGUUGCUGCUUUGCUGUGGCUCGCCUCAAAUGGAGUAGUGCAACUCUUGGUUGGACAUAGUACGGCGUGAUAAGUGUCUUCGCCGGCGCCUCAUUAUAGAGGGUGGCCGAUCGGGAGCUCUGUGCUUCAAACCGUCUUCGGACAACAUCUGACAACUUGACCUCAAAUCGAGUAGGACUACCCGCUGAACUUAAGCAUAUCAAUAAGCGGAGGA